GAGUUUGAUCCUGGCUCAGAAUGAACGUUGGCGGCGUGGAUUAGGCAUGCAAGUCGUGCGGAAAGGCCCCGCAAGGGGUGCUCGAGCGGCGAAAGGGAUAGUAACGCGUGGAUUACCUACCCUCGGGACGGGGAUAGCUGGGGGAAACCCCAAUUAAUACCCGAUAACGUCUUUGGACCAAAGGUGAAAUUCCGCCUGAGGACGGGUCCGCGGCCUAUUAGCUAGUUGGCAGGGUAAUGGCCUACCAAGGCGAUGAUGGGUAGCGGGUGUGAGAGCACGACCCGCGUCAUUGGGACUGAGACACUGCCCAGACACCUACGGGUGGCUGCAGUCGAGAAUCUUCGGCAAUGGGCGCAAGCCUGACCGAGCGACGCCGCGUGCGGGAUGAAGGCCUUCGGGUUGUAAACCGCUGUCAGAGGGGAUGAAAUGCGUGGGGGUUCUCCCCCACGUUUGACAUAGCCUCAGAGGAAGGACGGGCUAAGUUCGUGCCAGCAGCCGCGGUAAGACGAACCGUCCGAACGUUAUUCGGAAUCACUGGGCUUAAAGGGUGCGUAGGCGGCGCGGAAAGUUGGGUGUGAAAUACCUCGGCUUAACCGAGGAACUGCGCCCAAAACUACCGUGCUCGAGGGAGAUAGAGGUGAGCGGAACUUANGGUGGAGCGGUGAAAUGCGUUG
rnacentral:rRNA from 1 species